rnacentral:lncRNA from 1 species
CAAGGUCAGAACACGUAUGAUCACAGAAUGAGUAUUUAACUUGAUUAAUAAAUAUCUCAGAGUCAGUUUAUUUUCUGCUGAGAAAGAUUCACCCUGAGCUACCACCUGUUGCCAGUCUUCCUCUAUUUCGUAUGUGGCUCGCCACCACAGCAUGGUCACUGAUAGGUGAGUGGUGUAGGUCCACACCUGGGAACUGAACCUGGGCCACCAAAGUGGAGGACACUGACCUUAACCACUAGGCCACUGGGCCUGGCCCACACAAGGUCAGUUUAGAUUUAAAAAGGUGAAAACACAGGUCUCUGAAGAGUCCUCUAGUAUCAAAAACCCAGAAAGUGACAGUCUCAUCAAACUUAGGAAGGCCCCUUUGGUUGGUUGAGGCAAAGGACAGUCCCUUGCAAUGCAUUUAGGCUUCAGUCGGCUGUCCUUUGGAACUGUUCUCACGUGCAAAUCAAACCCACCAGACUUUAUGCCAGGAUGGCAAGGGUUUGCUUUAAUCCAACACCAAACACCCAAAGCCUAGCAGAACACCUGGCACGUAGCAGACAAAUAAUCACUGAUUAAAUGAAAGAAUCAACUGAAUGCAUGAACAAACCUGCCAGGCGCUCUUCAUUUUACUUUCCUUCUAACUGAUCAAUAAGUGUUGGCUGACUAACAGCCUGCAGCCAUUCUUAUCCUAUACUUAUAAAAACUACUGUUCUGUUCUGAAAUUAUCUUUAAAAUUGCUGAUAUAUCAUUAAUUAUUACUAUUACCAAGUCUGUUCAUUAUAAACCAUUCUAUUCAUCGAAAGAACAUGUGUUAUUUACUAGCAGAACGUGGCUUAGGUUUGUUCUUACAAGUUUAAUAAUAUGUAAUGUUAUAUUUUGACUCAUGGUAGGUCAUAGCAACUGACACCAAAGCAAGGAAAAAAUGCUGAGCAUAAUUCAAUUCCAGCAAAAUGCCUAAUAUGAACAAGGUUCCAUGGUGCGAGCCUUGUACAUAAAAGCUCAACCUAUAAUUUCCCAGAAAUCCCCAAGCAAUGGAAAAUUAAACUAUUUAAACUAUGAUUACACUAGAAAAACCCACAAGUUUUGUGUGACAUUUUCUGACAAUUUAUCUAUAAGUUGUUCUUUUUAAAACUAUCCAUAUUAGUUUCAGUUCUGAGAAACAAAUGCUAAGAUGGGAUUAAAUGUAGAAAAGAUUUACUGGGGAGACAUCUGUGAACUACAGAGGGGAGGAGCAGGCAGAGCCUGACCCCUGUGAAGGGAGAGGGAAGGAGAGGAGGACUGGGGAGACAUUUGUGAAUCCCAGAGGGGAGGAGCAGGCAGAGCCUGACCCCUGUGAAGGGAGAGGGAAGGAGAGGAGGACUGGGGAGACAUUUGUGAAUCCCAGAGGGGAGGAGCAGGCAGAGCCUGACCCCUGUGAAGGGAGAGGGAAGGAGAGGAGGACUGGGGAGACAUUUGUGAAUCCCAGAGGGGAGGAGCAGGCAGAGCCUGACCCCUGUGAAGGGAGAGGGAAGGAGAGGAGGACUGGGGAGACAUUUGUGAAUCCCAGAGGGGAGGAGCAGGCAGAGCCUGACCCCUGUGAAGGGAGAGGGAAGGAGAGGAGGACUGGGCAGGAAGAGCCUCGGACAGCAGCACAGUCCUAAGAAAACUCCGGGCAGGCUAAUGAGGAGUCCUUGAGCCAAGGUCGUCCAGCAGGGGAGUGGGCCAUCAGACUGCUUCACUGCAGCCCCGUCAUACCCACUCAUUGGCUAGGAACAGCCUGGGGAAGUGUGGCCUCGGCAGGAACAUGGUGGUGGAUCCCACGGGGCAGCAGCUGCGUCUCCGUCAACUCUACUUCCUGCAGAUCUGAGUUACGCGUUCCAUUGCUGCCGUAUCAUCUUUUCUAAGUCUUCAGGGUUUUGAUGGACAUAAGACCAAGUAUGUUUUCAUUCCACCAACUUUUACCUAUAUAUUUGAUAGCUGUCAUGAAUCACGUUACUAUUGACAGAGGUUAAAGAUUCUAUUAUCUUAACACAACACUUCAGUUAUUAUAUAUUUUAUGUUAGCUUCUGAAAUAUGUAAGUUGUCCUUAUCACAUAUCAUGAUGAUCAAUGUGGAACACAAGCAAAGCUAUACAGUACAAAAUAACACAAUAUUUCUGGACUGUUAACUUACUAAAAAUCUUCAAUAAUUUGGGCAAUUGAAGGCUGACUAAAUUAUAGAGUAUUUCUAAAGGAAUGUGGUUAUUACUUAGCAGCACACACAGUAACUGCAAUUAAAAGAACACAUGUUGACUGAGAGACAACUGGGAUCAAGACUGAAUGACUAGUCCCAAUUACCAUACUCUUUUGUGUGUAUCUGGGGAAAAUACACUUUUUUAAAAAGCUUCUUCUCUUAAAUAAGUCUCCGUACAAUCUUCUCAAAUAAUACUGCACCUACAGUUCACAUCACAUAGUAUCAGCCCACUGCAUUCUUUCUUCUACGGGCUUUGCAAACCCUCUCUAAGUAAUUUUAGUGUCCUGGGGGCUGAAGGCUCGGUCUUUGUGACUGAGGCCACAGGACAGCGAAAGACGCCUUGGGGAGCCCAGUAGUUUCCAUCCUUCCUUCAUUCCACAUCUGUCAACUGGACUUGACUUUUUCUGACCCAGUUGUCCGAAGGACACACGGUAGGAGCUUCUGAGUCAAUCAAAACUGACUGAGCUGGUCCAUUCCAUCGCUGCUUUUCUCCUAUUUGCCCUCUGUACCUGAAUUUCAUGUUUCACAAACUAAUGUCUAUUUCACCUCAGUUCACUCAUGCAUAUAAUCACUAACUUUCCAACUAAAGAUUUUUAACAUUAUAUUCAUAUAAGACAAUUUCAAUUUUAGUAUUUCAAAUUUCAGUUUCUUAAUCUUUUCCCCCAGGAAGUGUGGAGACUUGGAUAAAUACAUUUAUGGUUUAAAGCUAGCUACCACUUACUGAGAAGUAUGUGCUAUGCACUGCUCCAAGCGGUUCACAGGUAUUUACUCAUUUAAUCGUCUCAACUGCCCUAUCAGGUGGAAUGAGCAUCAUCUCCAAUUUACACAUAAAGAUAGUGAAGAACAGAGAAGAUAAAUAACCUAUCCAAGGUAACACAGCUAGUAAGCAGUACAGCCAGGAUUUGGACGCAAGUCAUCUGGCUCCAAGUUAAAGACUUUCUGAUGUUACUGUCGUCUCCUCAAACUAUAAUGCACCACUCAAUCCGCAUUUAAAAAGCCACUAUUACCUAGCACAUGGCAAUGCAAUCAAUAAAAAACUUAUUUUAUUCACAUUUGCAUUUUAUAAGCAACUGAUUUAACUGAAAUAUGAAGGAAAAGUUUGCUUUUCUCAUCACUUAUAUACCUCAAUACAUUUAAAUUAAUGUGCUAAUGUAUAUUUUCCCUUUCCUAAUUUAUAGCAGCAUAUUUUCUUCCAAAGCCAUCAUAUAUAUUUUUAAACACAUUAUAGAAAUUAGAUGACUUAAAGGAUAUACAAAAAUAAAGUAAUCAGUUAAUUCAGAUGUGCAUAUUCAGAAACAGAUAGUGAAGGUAAAGAAUACAUGGCUUAAAAAUCAAUGCAGCGUCCUUUUCGUUCCCAAUCUCCAUAGCGGGUAGGUUCCGGGCCCCUGGGUCCACCUUUUUCUUUGGUAACAGGAUUAACAUCAUCUGGAAAUU